ACUCAGAGCUAUUACAUUAUAUACAUUUUUAUCUCUUGCUAUGAAGCUUACUGCAAACAGAAAACACUUAUUUUCAUCCAACUCUGUACAACCUAGAAGAGAAUUAACAUUCUUUCUCCCCACAUGUUUCAUUUCAGUCCUAUUACAAAGUGCGGUGGAUUCAGGACACCUCUAUUCUCACUCAGACCUCCUCUCCCUCUGCAGGCUGAGUGGACACUGGACUUCCACUGUCUAGCAUCUCCAUCUUCUGCUCCUACCUGACAAGCAAAACCACAUUAACUGAUUAUACGAUGUCUACCCCAAAAGCACAGGACAGCCAUGAACUUGCUGAUGGACAGACCUUCACUUACCAUAGAUAAGGUCAACCAUAUGUCCCACAUUUGACUGGACGGACUAUGACUCAAAUUAAAGAUUGUGCUCCCAGCUCACCUGUUUAGAAAUAUUAUGAUUUUAUAGUAAAACUGUAAUUCUAGCAGGCAAUAAGAAGGCCACUGCCUCGAGAGAGUGAACAGCAAAUAAUGGAAGGGCCAGGAUGGCUAGUGCUCCAAACUGAUUUCCUCUUCCAUGUAUAUACUUUUUAGAAAUAAUAAAACAGAACCAGUUUUGUGACAAAUAAAAAGCAUAAACUAGCC